GGUCUUAUAGUUAAAUUAAUAUUAAAUUGCAAGUUUAAAGAUGAUUGAAAAUCUAAGACUU
rnacentral:tRNA from 1 species